rnacentral:misc_RNA from 1 species
GAAAGAAACGGUCCUACUCUUCAAUAAUUCUUGCCUUUUGCAAGAUGUAUGCUCCCUGACAUCUCCGAUGCUCCUUUUAUAAUUUCUGUGCUUUCAUGGCAAUAACCUAGCAACCAAAACAACAUUAUUUUUGUAUUCUUCUCUCUUUUAGCAUCUUCUCAUCAUCCAUCUCUUGUUAAUCAUUUCGUGGACUGUGGAAAAGCUGCCACCAAUUGUGUCAUCAAGAUUAAGGGGUAGGUAGCUAGCUGGCUAGCAACGUUUGGCUCAGCCGGCCAUUCCCGACAUUGCAGGUGGGGGUAUCUUGCGUUCCCAGAUCCUUCUUGGUUCUGCAGCGGUCCCCAAUCACUGGAUGCCUUCUCCCUUUGCUUCUACUAAGUGCUUUGCUUGCCCUUUCUUCUCUUCUAUAAGUCCUCUCACUAUUCCAAGAUAUACACACAUUAGGAGAAAAGCAAUAUGUAUAUGAAAUCAUUAUUACAGGAUAUGUAGAUGCAGCAACUUAUAUGCGGCAGAUUUUCGAGUUAAGUGCCAAGUUAUUUAGUUCAGCUAAUUUUAGCAAUACGAUCACUGAAGAUAAACUUUCAGUAACAACAGAGUAUUCAUGGGUAAGAUUGAUCCUCCAUUUCAAGAGACUUACAAGACCCUUUUCAAGGACUGUCUUGUAAGGGCAACAGAAGGCAGGAACCUUCCAAUGGUGGAAGAAUGUGAGCUGCCGCUCAUCGAUAUUAAUCGUUUAUCUUGGGGACACCCAGAAAGAGAAAAAUGUAUUACAGAAAUGGCUGAAGCAGCAAGUAAAUGGGGUUUCUUUCAAGUAAUCAAUCAUGGGAUCCCAGUAGAGAUUUUGGAAAGGAUGCAAUAUGAACAAAUGAAGGUGUUCCAUACAUCUUUUCAAAACAAGUGUGAAGGGAACAUCUUGAAUUUAUCAGCAAACAGAUACCUCUGGGGGAACCCUAAAGCGACUUGUUUGAGGCAAUUCUCUUGG